AUCAACAGGAAUUUUCUCAUUCUUUUUAACUGUAAUCUAUAUAUUGAUCUAUUAUUAAAUCUUAAUAAAUUGUAAUAAAAUACAUUUAAAUAAUUCAUUAACAACUAUAUAUAAAAAUAAAAUUAACUUGAUUUUAAAGUGUGACUUCCAUUUAUAGAACAAGAUUCUUUAAUAAUUAAAUACCGCCAAAUAGACUAACUUUGACUAUUCCAUUAGUAACUUAUACAUUUUCAUUAAUUCUUCUAGGGUAUCUAAUCCUAUUGACUACAAAUUAACUAAAAUUGAAAAUUCACUUUCUAAUUAAAAUCUAAAAAUUUCACCUAAAUAUAUUUUAAUUAAAAUUCAAUUUAACUUUCAAUAACCAAACAAUCAUUAAUUUCACCAGCCAUGUAUAACCG
rnacentral:rRNA from 1 species